AAAAUACCUGGAACCCCAAAUUAAACAGGAACCAGGGUAAUGGAUACCUUUGGGCCAUGCCAGGAAGGAGUUUCGGAGAUCGUAUUCUUCGACCUAGAAACAACAGUACCAAAUAAAGCUGGACAACGGUUCUGGGUAUUGGAGUUUGGAGCAAUCGUAGUUUGUCCAAGAAAACUUGUUGAGCUAGAGAGCUUUAGUACCCUCAUAAGACCUAAGGACUUGUCUGCUGUUGCAUUGAAGUCAGGUCGAAGUGACGGGAUAACUCGAGAAACUGUUGCAAAUGCACCUGCAUUCGAAGAGGUAGCUGAGAAAAUUUUUGGCAUUUUGAAUGGAAGAAUAUGGGCAGGACAUAAUAUCCAAAGAUUUGAUUGUGUCCGCAUUAAGGAAGCAUUUGCAGAUAUUGGUAAGCCUGCACCAGUUCCUGUUGGAAUGAUUGAUUCUUUAGGGGUCUUGAACGAGAAGUUUGGUAGAAGAGCUGGUAAUCUAAAGGUACAUUGCUGAUUUCUUAUGUAAAAUUUCUAUUAUUUCUGGGAUUUUCUCAAUUUCUUGACAUGAUCAUUCAACGUGUAAAGAUGGCAACUUUGGCUGCAUACUUUGGCCUUGGGCAGCAAAAGCACAGGAGUCUCGAUGAUGUUCGCAUGAAUUUGGAGGUCCUGAAGCACUGUGCCACUGUUUUAUUUUUGGUAAUCUAUUGAAAAUUAAGUUAUUAAUUAAUUCUUAAUCUCUGCACUGUACCAUUGAAAUCAUGCAUGCAUGCAUGUAUAUAAACUUCUGGGUAUAUUGUUUCAUUAAGGAAUCAACCCUUCCAACUCUAUUGAAUGGAAAAUGGAAUAAUCCUCCCAUUACCACGCGUAGUAGAUGCAAUGGAAGACUGCUAUGCAGGGAAGAAACCAGCCGGAAAUCUCCUCCGACCACUAUCGGUUACCAAAGAACAAUUCCUUAUGCAAGAGGAAGUCUAGGAAAGGUUCUAAAUUAAUUGUUUCAAGCAUGUUUUCUAUAAUUUAAAUCAUAUGAUGUCAAAUAAAAAUGAACUAAUUGCAUGAGAAUUAAUUAGCAGGUGGGUGAGGGAGUGAAAAAUUUGUUGUGCAAAGCCCAAGAUACAAAAUCCCUUAACAAGUUACUCAAGCACUCUCAUUCCUUGCUCAGAUGAUCGAGCAAUUAAGAACAAGGAGUUCUGCAACUUAUUUAUUCUGCAUUCAAGAGAAAAAAAAAUGUGGGUUGCCCUUCAUGAAUGUAAAUUGGAAAGCUAACGCUGGAGUGGGUUUUGCGAUUCACUGUUUUGCUUGGAAAUCAAGGGUCCUCGUGGGGACGCCAAUCUCAGAAAAUUCUUAUCCAUAUUCGAUUCGCCGUGUAUUAAAAACAAUUGAAACACAAUUUAAUUUCUUAAUUUAUUCUUUAUUUGAUUGAUUAGGUUUUUUUAUUUAUUUAUUUUUG
rnacentral:misc_RNA from 1 species